rnacentral:rRNA from 1 species
CUUAGAAGCAGCCAUCCUUGAAAGAGUGCGUAAUAGCUCACUGGUCGAGUGGUUCUGCGCCGACAAUGUAGUGGGGCUCAAGUACACCGCCGAAGCCGCGGCAAGCAAUUUUUUGUUUGGGUAGGGGAGCGUCGUGCAUGGGUUGAAGCGUUACCGUAAGGAGGCGUGGACUGUGUGCGAGUGAGAAUGCAGGCAUGAGUAACGAAUUGAUAGGUGAGAAUCCUAUCCGCCGGAUGACUAAGGGUUCCUGGGUCAAGUUCGUCUUCCCAGGGUGAGUCGGGACCUAAGGCGAGGCCGACAGGCGUAGUCGAUGGAUAACCAGUUGAUAUUCUGGUACCCGUACAUGCGCGCCCAUGAUAAAGCACUGAUACUAACCACCGCGGAUGCAUUGCUAGUCUUCUUUGAAGAUUGGUGGUGUUGAUGUCGUGGGGCCUGAUGUGUGGUUCAAGUGAUGGGGUGACGCAGUGAGGUAGCCACGCCACUUAUUGGAUUGGUGGUGUAAGCGUGUAGAUCGUGUGGUAGGUAAAUCCGCCACACAUAUGGUUGAGACGUGAUGCGUAGACCCUAUGGGGUUGAUGGUGGUGAUCCUGUACUGUCGAGAAAAGCCUCUAGCGAUGUGUGUGUAUGGCCCGUACCCUAAACCGACACAGGUAGUCAGGUUGAAAAUACUAAGGCGUUCGGGUGAACUGUGGUUAAGGAAUUCGGCAAAAUGCCCCCGUAACUUCGGGAGAAGGGGGGCCCCACGAUGUGAAGGUCUUUACGGCUGGAAGCGUUGUGGGGUCGCAGAGAAUAGAGGGAAGCGACUGUUUAUCAAAAACACAGGUCCAUGCGAAGACGUUAAGUUGAUGUAUAUGGACUGACGCCUGCCCGGUGCUGGAAGGUUAAGAGGACCGGUUAGUCAACUUUGUUGGCGAAGCUGAGAAUUUAAGCCCCAGUAAACGGCGGUGGUAACUAUAACCAUCCUAAGGUAGCGAAAUUCCUUGUCGGGUAAGUUCCGACCUGCACGAAUGGCGUAACGACUUCUCUGCUGUCUCAACCACAGGCCCGGUGAAAUUGCACUACGAGUAAAGAUGCUCGUUACGCGCGGCAGGACGAAAAGACCCCGGGACCUUCACUAUAGCUUGGUAUUGGUGUUUGGUUCGGUUUGUGUAGGAUAGGUGGGAGACUUGGAAGCUAUCACGCUAGUGGUGGUGGAGUCGUUGUUGAAAUACCACUCUGAUCGGAUUGAGCAUCUAACCUUGGCCCAUGAUCUGGGUUGGGGACAGUGCCUGGUGGGUAGUUUAAC